AUUGAACGCUGGCGGCAGGCCUAACACAUGCAAGUCGAGCGGAGCGGCGGACGGGUGCGUAAUGACAAGGAAUCUGCCUGGUUGUGGGGGAUAACGUCCGGAAACGGGCGCUAAUACCGCAUACUAUCAGAUGAGCCUAGGUCGGAUUAGCUAGUUGGUGUGGUAAAGGCCUACAAAGGCGACGAUCCGUAACUGGUCCUAGCGGAUGAUCAGUCAGACUGUAACUGAGACACGGUGCAGACUCCUACGGGAGGCAGCAGUGGGGAAUAGUGGAGAAGGGGCGAAAGCCUGAUCCAGCCAUGCCGCGUGUGUGAAGAAGGACUUCGGAUUGUAAAGCACUUUAAGUUGGGAGGCGUUACCAACAGAAGAAGCACCGGCUAACUUCGUGCCAGCAGCCGCGGUAAUAC
rnacentral:rRNA from 1 species